rnacentral:rRNA from 1 species
UGGGGAAUUUUGGACAAUGGGCGCAAGCCUGAUCCAGCCAUGCCGCGUGCGGGAAGAAGGCCUUCGGGUUGUAAACCGCUUUUGUCAGGGAAGAAAUCUUCUGAGUUAAUACCUCGGGAGGAUGACGGUACCUGAAGAAUAAGCACCGGCUAACUACGUGCCAGCAGCCGCGGUAAUACGUAGGGUGCAAGCGUUAAUCGGAAUUACUGGGCGUAAAGCGUGCGCAGGCGGUUUUGUAAGACAGAGGUGAAAUCCCCGGGCUCAACCUGGGAACUGCCUUUGUGACUGCAAGGCUUGAGUGCGGCAGAGGGGGAUGGAAUUCCGCGUGUAGCAGCGAAAUGCGUAGAUAUGCGGAGGAACACCGAUGGCGAGGGCAAUCCCCUGGGCCUGCACUGACGCUCAUGCACGAAAGCGUGGGGAGCAAACAGGAUUAGAUAGCCCUGGUAGUCCACGCCCUAAACGAUGUCAACUGGUUGUUGGGAAGGUUCCUUCUCAGUAACGUAGCUAACGCGUGAAGUUGACCGCCUGGGGAGUACGGCCGCAAGGUUG